AGAGUUUGAUCCUGGCUCAGGAUGAACGCUAGCUACAGGCUUAACACAUGCAAGUCGAGGGGAAACGACAUCGAAAGCUUGCUUUUGAUGGGCGUCGACCGGCGCACGGGUGAGUAACGCGUAUCCAACCUGCCCACCACUUGGGGAUAACCUUGCGAAAGUAAGACUAAUACCCAAUGAUAUCUCUAGAAGACAUCUGAAAAGAGAUUAAAAGAUUUUAUCGGUGAUGGAUGGGGAUGCGUCUGAUUAGCUUGUUGGCGGGGUAACGGCCACCAAGGCUACGAUCAGUAGGGGGUUCUGAGAGGAAGGUCCCCCACAUUGGAACUGAGACACGGUCCAAAUCCCUACGGGGAGCA
rnacentral:rRNA from 1 species